ACACCCUUCCAGCUCAGUGGUCGAGCGUUGGCUUUGGAAGUUACAGGUCGGUGGUUCGAACCCACCAGGGCACA
rnacentral:tRNA from 1 species